UACGGAGGGUGCAACCGUUGCUCGGAAUCACUGGGCGUAAAGCGCACGUAGGCGGCUCGAAAAGUCGGAUGUGAAAGCCCUGGGCUCAACCUAGGAAGUGCAUUCGAAACUGCCGAGCUUGAGUACGGGAGAGGGUUGCGGAAUUCCCGGUGUAGAGGUGAAAUUCGUAGAUAUCGGGAGGAACACCAGUGGCGAAGGCGGCAGCCUGGACCGAUACUGACGCUGAGGUGCGAAAGCGUGGGGAGCAAACAGG
rnacentral:rRNA from 1 species